CUAAAACAGUAAAAAUAAAGACACUUCUUCAAUGUCUAAGCAUCUCCUACAGUUACUAAUACAGUGAGAGUUAAAUAUAACCUCCAUUUUUCUUGAUUUUUUAAAACAUAGCUAAUCAUUAGUGUUAACACGACAAAUGGAAACCAUGAAACCAUGUAGUGUAUCCCUUUUCAUAUGUGACCCUAACUCCUAUCCUAAAUGAAAAUGAUGGAUUGGAAGGCAAGAUAGCUCUAUGCUUGUCAUAGUCAUAUGCUUUCCCUUAUGGCUACAUGUCUUGAAUAAUCACCUUAUAGAAAAGGAUCUGUAGUUAUUUAGCCUUUUUUCCAUCAUGACUUCCUAAAGUACUUAACACACAUGUUAACUGCACAGCAAGUUGUUUGAAAUGUUUCCUAAAUAUCAUGUCUGCUUGUCAAAUGAAAUGUUUAGCUGUAUCUGAAUACAGAGCCUAAUAAAACAUAAUCCUGCAUGAAAAAA